AAAUUUAGUAAAAAAAAAAAAAAAUCUUAAAGAACAAACAUUUCUGUUAUUUUUUGUCUGCCAUCAGUAUCGUAAUUUCCAUUUUCGUCAUUUUGCUGUUAAAUACGUUGGAAGCAACACAAAUCAUUUUUGACCGAAUCAUAUUCCAAUCCAGUCUAAUGUUUGCCUUUGUUUUUUUAUAAGUAAACCACCUUUAAAAACAAGAUUCGGACUCUUUCACCUUUCACCAACCACAGGUUGUUAGACUGACAGCAAAAGUUGGUACAAAAGGAGUUGCAAGAAACAAAGUGGCACUACAAUAUGUACAUUUUUUUUAAUUAGUUUUUUAGUAAAUGAAUUUAGUAAAGUUAAAAUAACAUUGCUGUUCGCUUAAAUGAGCUGCUGGUGUACCUUCACAGUGUGAACUUGCAGGUCAGUAUCAUCUGCUGAGACACACAAAACACUGCACUGUUAAGAUACGAAUGCGGCAAAGUCAGAGCGCACCUGCAUCUUAAAGGGAAUGACAACUGACACACUGAUUGGUUCAUUUUACUUUAUGCCCAAAACACACCAAUUAUUAAUUUUUGUGGUACAGCUUUUGGCACAGUGCUCUGCAUAUACCUCCAUUAAAAAAAUGUUUUAGAAUUUUUGGAGAUCUAUACAGCUUGGUUCAUAUGAUGUACAACCAAAUUCUUGCUUAGUUUAGACUACCUUUAUUCUGUAACUGACUUGUAAUAGCAUGAUCACAGCUGUGCCUCUGUAAUAUUCUGCAUAAUUUAAGAUAGAACAGAAAAUUCCACUGCCAGAAGCACAAGCAGCAAGAGGAACACUUUUUUUAGCAGCAUUUUAGGGAUGCGCUGUAUGUUGUGGCAAGAUUAAUGGAGGGACAAUAAUAAAAGAAUAGUGUUUAAGUUUAAAGUUUAAACUGUACAGACAGUAAGGAAUGAGUUUUGUACAGUGAAAAAUAGAACAACCCCACUAAAUGCAUAAGUCUGGCUAAGUUAGGUCUUGUUUUCCAUUUAUUUUGAAUGGACUGUAGUGCAAGUUUAAGUUUGUUGUAUCUAUUGUAGAUAUAUAGUCUCCCCAGAUGUAGCAUGUACAGUCUGUGAUGCAUUAAACAGUAAAAAUGUUAACAGUAAAAACAUACACUCUCCAAAAUUGAAAAUGCAUAUUUAUAUUUUAUAAACAUCCAAAAUAUAAUGAAUAAAAAAUAGCACAUGUACAUUAAGAGGAGUGUUUCGGUUUGUUCCUAUAUGUUAGGCUGUGUUUAAACAUUUAAAGCUCAGCCCAGCGCUCCCAAACACACAAGUAAUACAGCCUGACUGAUUAAAAAAUAUAUACCAUACUGAGCCAAUGACUGUGAAUCCAAUGUUCUAUAGAAAUUAAUCAAAACUAUCUCCCAUGUUAUCAAAUUUGCACCAUAUAUAAUAUUCUCUACUUAUAUUAUACAGUUAAUACAGCAUGUUAAUAAAGAAAAUCCACUCAUUUCUAUUAAAAUGUGAUGAAACGCUGGUGUGGCCAAACUUCUGAAUUACAGGCAGUGUAAUUCCAUGCUGGUGUGUGAGAUGAGCAGAGAACCAGUGUUGAGUUAGUGUGUGUGUGUGUGUGUGUGUGUGUGACUGUUCUCAGUGCUUAGCUUAUCAGUCAGGCCGAGGGGGCAGCUCAGCUGCAGGGGGGAUAUCUCUCUCUUUUAGGGGGGAGUCUAGAGUUCUGCACACACACACACACACACACACACACUGCACUCCUGCUCUUCUGCUGCUGCAUCCCCUACUCUCUAUCUCUCUCCUUCUCCUUCUCUUCUCUUUCUAAUUUCUUCUUUCUCUCGUUUUCUUUUCUUAUUAUUUUUCUUUCUCAUCUUUUUUCUCUUUUUUUCUUUAUCACUAUUUCCUUUCUAUUUUCUUCAUUUUUCUUCCUCUUCUCUUUUCUUUCUUUCUUUCUUUCUUUCUUUCUUUCUUUCUUUCUUUCUUUCUUUCUUUCUUUCACUUUCCCUGCACUUCUCUGACUCAUCUUUUCUCUUUUUCAUUCCCCUUCACAUCCCCUUCUCUUUUUCAUCUCUUUUCUUAUUGUAUAGAAGAAUUGUAUUAUUUACAUAUUUUCUUCUAUUUCUAUUUAGAUUUUGUUUUCUUUUUCUAUUAUUUGUUUUUCACUCUUUUUGCCUCUUUUUGUUGUUUCCUUAAUUACAUUUUGACUGUCUUUUUCUGUAGUUCAAUGUGAUUCGCUUUCCAUUUUGUUAACUUCCUUUCCCUUUCUGUAACACUCUUUUUCUCUUCUCAUAUUCUCUUCUUCUUUACUUCUUUACUCCGUCUUUGUCUUUCUCCCCUUCUAUCUGCUUUUCUCAUUUUUCUUUUUUAUUCUCUUUCGUUUCUUUUGCCUUUUCUGUUUCAAAUUACCUUUAUCUUUCUCCUGUUUCUCAAUUCUUUUCUUUUCCAUUAUCUCUUUUCUUUGGUCACCUUCUCUUUUCUGUUUUCUCUUCACCUUCAUAUUUUUUAAUAUUUCCCUUUCCUUUUUUUAACACCUUUUCUCUUGAGUCAUGUACUCUUUUCAGUUUCCUCUUCACCUUCAUCUUUCUUUAUGUUUCUCAGCUCUUUUCUUUUCCAUCACCUCUACUCUUAUGUCACCUUCUGUUGUUUUUUUAUUCUUUUCUUCUCAGCUCUAUUCUCUCCUCUGUUCUUCUCAGCACCAGUCUUUCCUCGGCUCCUCGUCGUCGUUCCUCUCCUCCAGCAGCACUCCUGAUACACUCAUGUGAAUUAAAGAUAAAUGUUGUUAAUUACUGCAUGGCGAAUGGGAAAGGAAUAAAUUGAGUGUUAUGUACUUAUUAAAAGGCAGAAAAGUCAUUAAGCUGAGGAGUAUUUUGAUUUGUGAAGUGCUCCGUGUGAAAGGCUAAUCCGCCGAGCACGCGGUGAAAAACCGGAGCUUCAGCCAAGCAUGUAAUGCCAUUCCGUUUCACUCGGCUCUGCUGAAGAACAGGUGGAAGAAAAGGAGGAAUUCGCGUCGAAGAAGAAGAAGAAGAAGAAGAAGCUAUGGAAGUAAAACAGUGUCACCAGACUUUGACAUUUAAAAGCACUUGAAUUUUUAGCACUGAUUUAUUUUACAUUGAAUUAUUGCAUGUGAUUUUUUUUGCCUCUGAAUUAAACACUUUAAUUUUUCAGUAUAUCAUUUUCACUUAUUUUAUUUUAAUGUAAAAAAAUUCAAAAGUAAAAAUUCAAGUUUAAAAAAUUCAAUUAAAAUAAAUUCAGGUUGCUCAAAUUCGACCUGUCAAAUUCGACUGCUAAAAUACAACGCUCAAAAUUCGCUGUCAACAUCCGGGACACACAGGAUGAGCAAUCGAUUCAGUCUUCAAUCGAGCCAACAACCAGCCAAUCACAUCACGCUCCGAAGAUCAUGUGACAUGUAGCGCCUCACGGCUCAGAGCCGCUCAACGCGAGUCACAGCCCCCUCCGCUGCUCCUCUCGAGUAGGUUGAAAAGAAGAUGGAGAAGUUUCAGCUUGCAGCUAUGGAGAGUUCACCACGAAAAGAACGAAGUCAAAGAAUACAAAGAUCUGUCCAUAUUCUGAAGUCACCACUUGAAGAUUUUAUGCAGAAUUAUUUGGAUUAUGAAUAGGAACCACAUUAUUUGCAACAGCUUUUAUUAUUUAUACAAACAAGAUGAACAUGAUAUGAUGAGCCAGAAUAUAGGGAGGCUGCCUAAAACAUACAAAAUAAAAAACAGAACACAUGUAAACAACUAAAGAAAAACAGAACAUGGCACAUGUAAAUAAAUCAAAUAAACACAGCACAGACUGCAUGAAAUUGGAUUUCUUUAUUUGUUCUUUAAAAGUUUGGAGAAAGGAAACCUGUGGAAUACAAAAGAAACUUGAAAAAUUACUGCAUUUGAUACAUGAAUAUAAUUAAACAUUUUAAGAACAUUA